rnacentral:rRNA from 1 species
AUACAGAGGGUGCGAGCGUUAAUCGGAAUUACUGGGCGUAAAGCGCGCGUAGGCGGCUUGGUCAGCCGGAUGUGAAAGCCCCGGGCUCAACCUGGGAAUGGCAUUCGAUACUGCCAGGCUAGAGUAUGGGAGAGGGAAGUGGAAUUUCCGGUGUAGCGGUGAAAUGCGUAGAUAUCGGAAGGAACACCAGUGGCGAAGGCGACUUCCUGGCCCAAUACUGACGCUGAGGUGCGAAAGCGUGGGGAGCGAACAGGAUUAGAUACCCCAGUAGUCC